rnacentral:rRNA from 1 species
ACUCAAAGGAAUUGACGGGCACCCGCACAAGCGGUGGAGCAUGCUGUUUAAUUCGAAGAUACGCGAAGAACCUUACCUAGACUUGACAUCCCGGGCAAAGCUAUAGAAAUAUAGUGGAGGUUACCCCGGUGACAGGUGGUGCAUGGUUGUCGUCAGCUCGUGUCGUGAGAUGUUCGGUUAAGUCCGAUAACGAGCGCAACCCUUAUUAUUAGUUGCUAACAUUUAGUUGAGAACUCUAAUGAUACUGCCGUGGACAACACGGAGGAAGGUGGGGAUGACGUCAAAUCAUCAUGCCCCUUACGUCUAGGGCUACAGGCGUGCUACAAUGGCCGAUACAAAAAGACGCAAUACCGUGAGGUGGAGCAAAUCUCUAAAAUCGGUCCCAGUUCGGAUUGGAGUCUGCAACUCGACUCCAUGAAGUUGGAAUCGCUAGUAAUCCUGAAUCAGAAUGUCAGGGUGAAUACGUUCCCGGGUGUUGCACACACCGCCCGU